rnacentral:rRNA from 1 species
UGGGGAAUCUUGGACAAUGGGCGCAAGCCUGAUCCAGCGACGCCGCGUGGGUGACGAAGGCCUUCGGGUUGUAAAGCCCUUUUCCCGGGGACGAUGGUGACGGUACCCGGGGAAUAAGCACCGGCUAACUCCGUGCCAGCAGCCGCGGUAAGACGGAGGGUGCUAGCGUUGUUCGGAAUCACUGGGCGUAAAGGGCGCGUAGGCGGCCGCCCGCGUCGGACGUGAAAGCCCGGGGCUCAACCCCGGAACGGCGUCCGAUACGGGGCGGCUCGAGGCCGGGAGAGGGGGGUGGAAUACCCAGUGUAGAGGUGAAAUUCGUAGAUAUUGGGUGGAACACCGGUGGCGAAAGCGGCCCCCUGGCCCGGUCCUGACGCUGAGGCGCGAAAGCGUGGGGAGCAAACAG